GACAGGGAAAGAGAGAGAAUACUCCUGCUAACUUCUUGCAGUCUCUUCAGGACUCUCCUUUCAGAGAAACCUGAGUACUCUGGGUGAUAAGCAAUCCAGACAUACCGAAGCCUUCUCGGUUGUACUCUCUUGCUGAAGACUGGCAUCAACCAUUCAUGGAUAAAGGAAGCCCUGAAGUCAAUCCUAACACACCUACAUUGACCAUCAAGAAGGAAGAAAAACACCCAAAAUCCCGCAGAGUCUCCAAAAAUGUGGUGACCUUUUUACUUGAUAGGCAACUGGGGAGGCACAGAAAUGACGUGGAUUUGUCCAGAUGGGACGCUGACAUAAGCCACACACAGGAUAGAGUUGGCUAUUGUCAAAAAGUCAUAAUAUCUACCUACCAUGCCCAUAAGUUUAGGGAAAAAAGCAAAGAAAAAUUGGAAUAGCAAAAUCCUCCUUUGUUUCAGCUGUUAAAAUAAAAGCUGAAUUUUCACCC